ACGUCCGGUGCAUCAAGCCAAAUGAUGAGAAGCUGCCCUUUGAGUUUGACUCUAAACGGAUUGUCCAGCAGCUGCGAGCCUGUGGUGUUUUAGAAACGAUUCGAAUAAGUGCCCAGAGCUACCCUUCCAGGUGGACAUACCUCGAGUUCUACAGUCGCUACGGUGUCCUCAUGACCCAGCAGGAGCUGUCCCUCAGUGAUAAGAAGGAGGUUUGCAAAGUGGUUUUGCACAGGCUCAUCCAGGUGGGUCUCACCUGCUGGGCUCUUCCCGGCGGUAUGCCUCUCAAACGUAUCCCUUCCUGCCAGUAAGAUAAUGGCAGUCAUGGCCCCUGAGGUAAGAGCCCUUAACAGCAGGCAUCUCCUGUGGAGAUCCAAACCCUGGAUUCUGCAGCCAUCCUCCUGGGAUCCAAUACCGUCUGACAGGACAUGGUCAGAUGAGGUGGAACCAGCUCCACAAGGUGGUCGUGUUGCUCAGCAUGAAUUGAGAUUAUCGCUGAGGUGAUGAGUUAGGCCAGAGAGGAGAUGACAAGCUAUGACCGUGGGGACAUGGAAUAGGGGUGUGACGAUGGCAAGCUACGAUGGCUAGGAAAUGGGACAGAGACUUGAACCCAAAACCAGGACAGAAAGCAAUAUGCACCUUGAAUAGAUGUUUCUAGAUUAUGAUUCUGGUUUUUUUCCCCCCUGCCUUGUACAUAAGCAACACCAAUGAUUUGAGAAUCAUUUGACUCUCUCAAAUUGCAAAAAAAAAAAAAAUCU
rnacentral:lncRNA from 1 species